UAUUUAAAUAAAAUAAAUCACGACACGCAGGCCCUAUUUAAAUAAAAUAAAUCAUGACACGCAGGUCAUAUUUAAAUAAAUGAACAAACGCCAAUAUAAACUAAGGUCAUAACCAUAUACCAUAAAUUAAAUUAUAAACCAGCACGUAAUGAAUCAAAUAUUCAUUCAUAUAAUUACCGAGUAAAGGAUGUCAAGCACCGAAAUUCAUAUCUAUGAAUUUA
rnacentral:lncRNA from 1 species